GACGAACGCUGGCGGCGUGCUUAACACAUGCAAGUCGAACGGUGAAGCGCCUUCCUUUUUGGUGGGUGUGGAUGAGUGGCGAACGGGUGAGUAACACGUGAGUAACCUGCCCCCUUCUUCUGGAUAACCGCAUGAAAGUGUGGCUAAUACGGGAUAUUCUGGGUCUGUCGCAUGAUGGGUCUGGGAAAGAUAUUGUUUCGGUGGGGGAUGGGCUCGCGGCCUAUCAGCUUGUUGGUGGGGUGAUGGCCUACCAAGGCGGUGACGGGUAGCCGGCCUGAGAGGGUGGACGGUCACACUGGGACUGAGACCCGGCCCAGACUCCUACGGGAGGCAGCAGUGGGGAAUAUUGCACAAUGGGCGCAAGCCUGAUGCAGCGACGCCGCGUGAGGGAUGGAGGCCUUCGGGUUGCGAACCUCUUUCGCCAGUGAAGCAGGCCUGCCUCGUUUGUGGGUGGGUUGACGGUAGCUGGAUAAGAAGCGCCGGCUAACUACGUG
rnacentral:rRNA from 1 species